UUGUCCCUGCAUAGCAGGGC
rnacentral:snRNA from 1 species